UACAGAGGGUGCAAACGUUGCUCGGAAUCAUUGGGCGUAAAGCGCACGUAGGCGGCCCAGCAAGUGGGGAGUGAAAGCCCUCGGCUUAACCGAGGAAGUGCUUUCCAAACUACUGGGCUUGAAUACUGGAGAGGGUCGCGGAAUUCCCGGUGUAGAGGUGAAAUUCGUAGAUAUGGGGAGGAACACCGGUGGCGAAGGCGGCCACCUGGACGGUCACU
rnacentral:rRNA from 1 species